AAAAAAAGGGAGCCUACCUUUCUCUACCAUUUUCGUUCUCCCUCGAACACACCACCUGGUGGAAAUGGAAGGAAAAAUUCGACGACGUUGACAUCAUUGACGCUAGCGUCGACACGGUAUGAACCCCACAUUUAAUCCCAUCAUUUGAACUGGGCCCUAAACCUUAUCAUUACGGAUUUGCAGAAGAUAUGGAAGCAGAUAACUCCGUCGCUGGUGACAGCACUGGUAACAUUUAUUCUUCUUGAAAGAUGUUUCUUGUUUAUUUCUUGUCAUUUUUUCCCUUAUAGAUCUUGAACUGCUAUUGUUCCAUGGAAGUGUUAAAGUUUGGGAAAAACUGUUGAUGAAACUUCGACUGUACACCUACGUUUGGGGAAAUCUGCUAUUGUUCUUGUUUGUUUGCUCUUCUUGCAUAAAUUGUAGAUGAUGAAAUUUCGCCUGUACAAAUAUGUCAAAGAAUGAAAUCAGGCGUUUAAUUCUGGGUUCAGAUUUUUGGAGCUAUCACAUAUUUUCUUCUUGUUGCAUUUGUUUGAUGUGGCUACAAAUUAUUGUCAAGAUUUGCAAGUCCCUUCUCCUCAGGCCCAAGUUCUUUUCUGAUUUUGGGUUCUAAAGUAGCUCACUUUGAAACAGUUUGUGUGAUUGUUGCACAAUCUUUGUGAAGCAGCUGAUUCUAUAAUGGUUAUUGGUUACUGCAAUUGUGGAGCUGAUUAGGUAAAUAUUUAUUUAUUUUGCUUCAGUUCGCACUUCCACCUUCAAUGACCAAAUGUGCUUUUUUCUUUAUAAAUAAGGCUCUGAUUCUUUUGUUGUACGCACUAUGUCACAGUUGUUUCAAAUGUGCUGGAGAAAGUGAAUGCUCAGUUGUUAUGCAAGGAUGAUGUAAAUGGACAAGUCAAAUCAAGAAAGAAAAAGUGUUAUAGAGCAUACUAUGGAGGGGACUACUGCCAUGUUAUUCUAAAUUAGUAAUGAUUGUUGAUUUAUGCGCCUAACUAGUAAUGGUGGUUGAUCUGUGCCCCUUACCACGUAGACAUUUUGUAAGCUAGUUUAUGGUAAUAUUCAUGUGCAUCUUGUGAUAGCACAGAGGUUGGUGCUUAAUUGACAAUUAGCUAUUUCAUCUUUGGCUCGAACACAUUUGUCCAUGGACAAUGGAUUUAGCUUUGAUGUAGUGUAAGAAAAGUGCAAAAUCUUAAUGAUCUUGAAUCAGUAUUGCCAAUUGGUUAUAUCGCAGUCAUUUGCAAAGGCAAUUGCAUAAAUCUUGAUCGUUUUUGCUGGAAAGUGCUUAAACAGCUGCAUGUGGACCGAAUAAUAGGUUGAAUAAUUGCUAAGGAGUUGGUCAAAACUGGAUAUGCAACAAGUGCUUGAAGACCAAGUCUUUAGGGAGAUAGUUGAUGCUAUUUUUCUGUUUAUGCUUUUGAUAUUAGGAAGUUGUUAGUCUUUAGGGAGAUAGUUGAUGCCAUUGUUACCAUGAAUUGGCAAUCUUAAUUCUUUCGACAGGCUGAAAAUAGCUCCCAAUAUUAUUAUCACGAUGAAUACAGUAGCACCUGUAUGUAUAUACAUCCCAAUAGAACGUUGUCAAUAAUACAAGAAAAUACUAAGGGUUCGUUUGAUUGCAAAGAUGAAAUUUGG
rnacentral:lncRNA from 1 species